UACGGAGGAUCCGAGCGUUAUCCGGAUUUAUUGGGUUUAAAGGGUGCGCAGGCGGGAUGUUAAGUCGGCGGUGAAAUUUUGCAGCUCAACUGUAAAAGUGCCUUCGAUACUGGCUUCCUUGAGUGUGGAUGAAGUAGGCGGAAUUUGUGGUGUAGCGGUGAAAUGCUUAGAUAUGACGCAGAACUCCGAUUGCGAAGGCAGCUUACUGGGAUGCAACUGACGCUGAGGCACGAAAGCGUGGGUAUCAAACAGGAUUAGA
rnacentral:rRNA from 1 species